rnacentral:rRNA from 1 species
GCCUAGCCCUAAAUCUUGAUGUUUACCAAACUAAAGCAUCCGCCCGAGAACUACGAGCACAAACGCUUAAAACUCUAAGGACUUGGCGGUGCCCCAAACCCACCUAGAGGAGCCUGUUCUGUAAUCGACAACCCACGAUAUACCCGACCACUUCUUGCCAAAAACAGCCUACAUACCGCCGUCGCCAGCUCACCUCCAUUGAGAGCAUAGUAGUGAGCACAAUCGCCCUAACCCCGCUAGUACGACAGGUCAAGGUAUAGUCUAUGAGGUGGAAGAAAUGGGCUACAUUUUCUAACUUAGAAAACCUUUAUUUUCAACGGAAGGGAGUGUGAAACAACUCCCAGAAGGCGGAUUUAGCAGUAAAGUAGGAUAAUAAAGCCCCCUUAAAGCCGGCUCUGAGGCAC